rnacentral:rRNA from 1 species
AGUGAACGCUGGCGGCGUGCCUAAUACAUGCAAGUCGAACGGAGUGGCUCACGGGUGAGUAAUGUAUAGCUAAUCUGCCCUACACUAGAGGACAACAGUUGGUAACGACUGCUAAUACUCUAUAGUGUAGGUUGAGGCUAUAUUGUAUCAGCUAGUUGGUGAGGUAAUGGCUCACCAAGGCUAUGACGCAUAACUGGUCUGAGAGGAUGAUCAGUGAAACUGGAACGGAGACACGGGCCGGACUCCUACGGGAGGGAGCAGUAGGGAAUAUUGCUCAAUGGGGGAAACCCUGAAGCAGCAACGGCGCGUGGAGGAUGACACUUGUGGGAGCGUAAACUCCUGUUGUUAGGGAAGCGGUACCUGACGAAGAAGCACCGGCUAACUCCGUGCCAGCAGCCGCGGUAAUAC